rnacentral:rRNA from 1 species
GAUGAACGCUGACGGCGUGCUUAACACAUGCAAGUCGAACGAAGCAUUUAGAACAGAUUACUUCGGUUUGAAGUUCUUUAUGACUGAGUGGCGGACGGGUGAGUAACGCGUGGGUAACCUGCCUUGUACUGGGGGAUAGCAGCUGGAAACGGCUGGUAAUACCGCAUAAGCGCACAAUGUUGCAUGACAUGGUGUGAAAAACUCCGGUGGUAUAAGAUGGACCCGCGUCUGAUUAGCUAGUUGGUGAGAUAACAGCCCACCAAGGCGACGAUCAGUAGCCGACCUGAGAGGGUGACCGGCCACAUUGGGACUGAGACACGGCCCAGACUCCUACGGGAGGCAGCAGUGGGGAAUAUUGCACAAUGGAGGAAACUCUGAUGCGGCGACGCCGCGUGAGUGAAGAAGUAAUUCGUUAUGUAAAGCUCUAUCAGCAGGGAAGAUAGUGACGGUACCUGACUAAGAAGCGCCGGCUAAAUACGUG